rnacentral:rRNA from 1 species
UACGUAGGGCGCAAGCGUUGUCCGGAAUUAUUGGGCGUAAAGAGCUCGUGGGCGGCUUGUCACGUCGAUUGUGAAAGCCCGAGGCUUAACCUCGGGUCUGCAGUCGAUACGGGCUAGCUAGAGUGUGGUAGGGGAGAUCGGAAUUCCUGGUGUAGCGGUGAAAUGCGCAGAUAUCAGGAGGAACACCGGUGGCGAAGGCGGAUCUCUGGGCCAUUACUGACGCUGAGGAGCGAAAGCGUGGGGAGCGAACAGG